rnacentral:rRNA from 1 species
GAUGAACGCUGGCGGCGUGCCUAAUACAUGCAAGUCGAGCGAACGGACGAGAAGCUUGCUUCUCUGAUGUUAGCGGCGGACGGGUGAGUAACACGUGGAUAACCUACCUAUAAGACUGGGAUAACUUCGGGAAACCGGAGCUAAUACCGGAUGAUAUUUUGAACCGCAUGGAUCAAAAGUGAAAGACGGUCUUGCUGUCACUUAUAGAUGGAUCCGCGCUGCAUUAGCUAGUUGGUAAGGUAACGGCUUACCAAGGCAACGAUGCAUAGCCGACCUGAGAGGGUGAUCGGCCACACUGAAACUGAGACACGGUCCAGACUCCUACGGGAGGCAGCAGUAGGGAAUCUUCCGCAAUGGGCGAAAGCCUGACGGAGCAACGCCGCGUGAGUGAUGAAGGUCUUCGGAUCGUAAAACUCUGUUAUUAGGGAAGAACAUAUGUGUAAGUAACUGUGCGCAUCUUGACGGUACCUAAUCAGAAAGCCACGGCUAACUACGUG